AACGUAGGAGGCAAGCGUUAUCCGGAUUUACUGGGCGUAAAGCGUGUGCAGGCGGUCGUUCAAGUCGCGUGUGAAAGCCCCCGGCUCAACUGGGGAGGGUCACGCGAUACUGAUCGACUCGAAGGCAGGAGAGGGUAGUGGAAUUCCCGGUGUAGUGGUGAAAUGCGUAGAUAUCGGGAGGAACACCAGUGGCGAAGGCGACUACCUGGCCUGUUCUUGACGCUGAGGCGCGAAAGCUAGGGGAGCAAACGGG
rnacentral:rRNA from 1 species